CUGAUUGGUAACCACCAAAUGCUCUAAGGAUAUGACACUUUCUUCAGAUUUCCCCUGAGGGUCUUGAUUGUACAUUGACAGCUGACAGGCCACACGGCCUUGGAGAUACAGUUUAUUCAGCUUACAAAGGACUCUUGCUGAUUUUCUUUGAAAACAAAUCAUCAUUUAAAAAAUUGUGAAAUUUUGCCUAAAUACCUAGAUGAUGUCCUUUGAAAAAUAUGGCCAUACCACAUUUUCACACAGCCACAAAUCUGUUGGAGCUAAGAAAUGAUUGCCCUUUGAGAUGUCUGAGUUCUUCAGUUUCCUGAUGUUUCUCAACAUUUUUAUUAGUUUUGCUCUCCUAAGGAGAUUCAGAGACAUUGUCCCCCCUCCUCAUGGUCUUUCUCUCUCCAUGAAAUUCUAAUAGCGUGGAUAUGUUGUAUAUCUGCUUCUGUGCUGUGGCCCUUUGGAGGACCAGAAACCGUUGAGAAUAUCUAAGGAUUUUGCACCCUCAAGAACCUGUUUUUGCCCCCUUGGGAAUGGUAUCACCCCCAGGGAGAACGCAUGCUGCUCUAAACCCAAUGGCUCUCCAGCACUGAAACAAGGAUCUGGAAGAUUAAUCUGGCUGGAAAUUCAUCAGCUUUCUAAACUACUUAGUGCCUGUUAAAAGAGAGAAACCCACAGUCAACUGAGGUCCAGAAGCAGAUGAUCCUCCCAACAUACCAUCAGAAGAACGAAGCCUAAUGCUAUGUCACAAUGUCUGCAUUAUUCACUUCACUUCAUCCCAUCACAUAGGCAUUUUAUCCUCUCGCAUCAUCAGAGGAAGAAAGUGAAAGAAACAGCUCUAUCAGUCGAAACAAUGUCACUUGGGAAGCAGAUCGUUGGGCAACGUUUCCUGGGCCCGCCAAUAACAUUGGGCAAAAAACAUACUUAGGCCCAUCUGUGGUGUCAAUUGCGAAGAAACCUCUGCCGGGAGGAGGGCUUUCAGAGCUUCUGGAAGGCUAAAGCCAAAUGGUCUCAAACCAGCUGCAAGGGAGUUUGGAAAAUGCAAAUUUUCUGGAUAUUCUGGAAGAGGAAACAGUGGAUCACCGCCAUAAUCACAGGCAGAGAAAGCCCAGGAGCCUGACAAAAACUCAGGAAGAAAACAUCCUUCUACAAGAACUAUCAUAAAAAAUAUCAGUAAGGAUUUAAUAAAAAAGAAGAUUAAAAAAGUAUUUUCUGACACAAGUUGUUUUAAGAGAAUGUGGAGAAACGGGGUUCAGGCUGAGGAAAAGCAACCUUUCCUUACUCCACAAAUUUGAAAAGUUUCCUGAGUAUAAUGCAUUGAGCCUUCCUUGAAGCUUCAUUAAAAUUAUAUCUAAAGAACUGAUUAUAAGAAAAUGAUUAAUAAUACAAUAACACGGAGCAACUGUUCUGCAGAGCUGUUUGGAGUUGUGGGCUUUUCCAUCAGCACUCUGUUUUGUUCUCUGCUUCCAUCCACGCAGGGAAGCAAAUGCCCGUCACCAAUUUUUUUUUUUUUCCUUCUCAUCAAGCAAUAAGAACCAUCAUUUGGUAAAAACAAAGGAUACAUCUGCUUUCUGGGCAGCCAGCACAGAGGAAAGAUUAGUAAGCAAGAUCUGUGCUUCACCAUUAUGUGGUGCAAAGGAGAAGGCAGUGUCAGCCAGCUGGUGACUCCAGGUGCACCUGGUGGGAGAGAGGACUCCAGACCACUCCUAUGGUUGGAUUACAGAGGAGCUCAGACCCUUCCUGACCUAGAUCUUUACGUUUCUGUGCUAGCAGUUCAUUCUUUAUCAGUAAUGAUCUUUCUGGAGCCAUUUGAUUUGUCUGUGCAGUGACACAUGACAUUUGGAUAAACCACGAUUUAUUUCCUCACUGGCUCCACGCAUGGAGUUUCGUGACAUGUUUCACAGGAGAUCACCUGUGAUGAGGACAAAGGUCAGUGGAAAGCUGUUCAAACGGAGAAGUUUGGCCUCAAGAAGCCCAUCUGAACCUCAACUCUCGACCUGUUCAUUGACCGUGUUUGCUAAUUGGGUCUUCAGUGCAAAACAAGAAACAACGCUCAGCAUUGCUAACUGUUUGUUUAGCCAGAACAUGAAAAUCAAUCUACUGAUGACCAAAAGGGCAUAGCAAACAACAUCCCUGUGGAGUUGGGUGUUUUUGGCCUUGGCAUUCAACAGAUGUGGUCUGAGAGCUCCUACAACCUGUGUGCAGAUGCAGUUCACAUAAUUAAUGCUAGAUUGGCUUCUUGCAUGUAGGACUGCAGAGAGUUGGAUAGAAAGGGAGGGAGCCUGAGGUUAGUAGAAAUAAGUUGACCUCAGAAGGUUGUUGGGAUUCAGAAGAAAUGAUGGUGCAUAUUUUGAUCAUUCUUUUCUUUAAUCACUUCUCAGUGAUUUUUGCAGCUUGUGAAGGGAAAUAAACAAACACAAAACAAAAUAUCUCCACCCCUCUCUCUGAAUAAAUUCCUUGGUUAGACUCUAAGGGACUGGCUUGUCUGGCCGAGUGGGGACGAGUACAAGGAAACCUGGCAGCUUCUGGGUCCUGAAAUUUCCCCUUGCAGCAUUCCUGUUGUCAGCACUGAAGAGAAAUAAGUCAACUGAUCUCAUCUGAAAACCACAUGGAAAGUAGGCAUGUUUUCAUCACACGGAAAAUGAAAAAAUAAGCUCCUGACUUUUCUCAACUUAAUGCUGUCAGAUCCAAAGGAAAUUAAAGAAACAAAUGUUUGAAUUUAGGAACCUGAUUAAAGGAACACCUUUUAAAGAAAUUAGCCCUCUUGUGCUGGACCUUCUUAGGUAGAAUUCACUAGACGAAUCCCAAGUGGCAGGCAUCCUUUUUAUUUUCUCUUGCUCAUUUAAGAUGGGAAACUCUUUGUUUCUUUCUCAGAGGCUUGAUGCUAAAGGAAGUACAGAACAGGAAAGCAUAUUUUAAUCAGGGUCUAUUUUCAAGGCUCGCAACAAUAAGUCACAUUAUAUCUAUCCAGGAAGACAUUGAAAAAAAAAUAAUAGCACCUCUUUUUCCUGCCGUAACUGUUGAAAUUUAUCUCCAACCAAUCCCACUUCACAUACUUUCUUUUUAACAAAGGAAGGAAAGAGAAAAGAGAAAAUGAAGAAGGAAUAAAUCGACCGUAAUGUGGCAGAUGCCUUCCUUGCUGCUUAUAAUUGUGUAAAGAAACAAUAUGAUGCAGUAAAACUCGAAGGAUUUUAUUUGGUUUAUUAGCUCUGACUGCAUCCCAAGCUGUCUCACUGCUCCAAUUUUAGACAACACAUGACAUCAUAAUUGCUUCUGGCACUUUACAGUAAUAGAUACUGGUGAGGGUUUUUUAGCACCUCUCUGUCCCCCCAACUUUACGAGUACUUCUUGGGAGAGCAGCAGCCUCUCAUCCCUCUCAUCUGCAGAGCAUGCACAUUUUGGCUGAGGUAGCUUUCCACUGUGUUGCUUGCAAAGAUAUCUGCCCUAUUUAAGUUCGAAGGCGGCUUUCUU